rnacentral:rRNA from 1 species
CCGCUGAACUUAAGCAUAUCAAUAAGCGGAGGAAAAGAAACCAACAGGGAUUGCCCUAGUAACGGCGAGUGAAGCGGCAACAGCUCAAAUUUGAAAUCUGGCGCAAGCCCGAGUUGUAAUUUGUAGAGGAUGCUUCUGGGUAGCGGCCGGUCUAAGUUCCUUGGAACAGGACGUCAUAGAGGGUGAGAAUCCCGUAUGUGACUGGCUUGCACCCUCCACGUAGCUCCUUCGACGAGUCGAGUUGUUUGGGAAUGCAGCUCUAAAUGGGAGGUAAAUUUCUUCUAAAGCUAAAUACCGGCCAGAGACCGAUAGCGCACAAGUAGAGUGAUCGAAAGAUGAAAAGCACUUUGGAAAGAGAGUUAAAAAGCACGUGAAAUUGUUGAAAGGGAAGCGCCCGCAACCAGACUUUGCGGCAGUGUUCGGCCGGUCUUCUGACCGGUUUACUCGCUGUCGUGAGGCCAUCAUCGUCUGGGACCGCUGGAUAAGACCUUAGGAAUGUGGCUCCCUUCGGGGAGUGUUAUAGCCUCUGGUGAUGCAGCGCGUCUCGGGCGAGGUCCGCGCUUCGGCAAGGAUGAUGGCGUAAUGGUUGUCGGCGGCCCGUCUUGAAACACGGACCAAGGAGUCUAACAUCUAUGCGAGUGUUCGGGUGUCAAACCCCUACGCGUAAUGAAAGUGAACGGAGGUGGGAACUUUUUGUGCACCAUCGACCGAUCCUGAUGUCCUCGGAUGGAUUUGAGUAAGAGCAUAGCUGUUGGGACCCGAAAGAUGGUGAACUAUGCCUGAAUAGGGUGAAGCCAGAGGAAACUCUGGUGGAGGCUCGCAGCGGUUCUGACGUGCAAAUCGAUCGUCAAAUUUGGGUAUAGGGGCGAAAGACUAAUCGAACCAUCUAGUAGCUGGUUCCUGCC